UUUUUUAACUUUGUUGCCUAGUGAUGAAGAAACCAAAAACUUGGUGAGUAGAGAAGAUAAAUAUUAAAACUUUUUUACAUAUAAUAUACCAUAGGGCAAUGUGAAUAUGACAAAUACAAAUAAAAUUGAGCUUUAUUACGUAAUUUCACUCAUUAACCAUUUAUAUAUAAUAUAAUUAAUUAAUUUAUAGUCCUUUAACUUUG
rnacentral:lncRNA from 1 species